rnacentral:rRNA from 1 species
CAUGGUUGUCGUCAGCUCGUGUCGUGAGAUGUUGGGUUAAGUCCCGCAACGAGCGCAACCCUUGAUCUUAGUUGCCAGCACUUCGGGUGGGCACUCUAAGGUGACUGCCGGUGACAAACCGGAGGAAGGGGGGGAUGACGUCAAAUCAUCAUGCCCCUUAUGACCUGGGCUACACACGUACUACAAUGGCCGGUACAACGGGCUGCGAAGCCGCGAGGCGGAGCCAAUCCUAGAAAGCCGGUCUCAGUUCGGAUUGCAGGCUGCAACUCGCCUGCAUGAAGUCGGAAUUGCUAGUAAUCGCGGAUCA